rnacentral:rRNA from 1 species
CCUACGGGGGGCAGCAGUGGGGAAUAUUGGGCAAUGGACGCAAGUCUGACCCAGCCAAGUAGCGUGAAGGAUGACUGCCCUCUGGGUUGUAAACUUCUUUUAUAUGGGAAUAAAAUGUUCCACGUGUGGGAUUUUGUAUGUACCAUAUGAAUAAGGAUCGGCUAACUCCGUGCCAGCAGCCGCGGUAAUACGGAGGAUCCGAGCGUUAUCCGGAUUUAUUGGGUUUAAAGGGAGCGUAGGUGGAUUGUUAAGUCAGUUGUGAAAGUUUGCGGCUCAACCGUAAAAUUGCAGUUGAAACUGGCAGUAUUGAGUACAGUAGAGGUGGGCGGAAUUCGUGGUGUAGCGGUGAAAUGCUUAGAUAGCACGAAGAACUCCGAUUGCGAAGGCAGUUCACUGGACUGCAACUGACACUGAGGCUCGAAAGUGUGGGUAUCAAACAGGAUUAGAUACCCGAGUAGUC